GUUGCCUUCUGCUUUGGGAAGGAAAGGAACAGAGCAGCUGAGGAACACAAGGCAGAAAGAGCUCUGAAGGAAAGGACAAAUACUGUACAUCUCAAUAAGAAACACAUUGGCCUCUUCAAAAUGAGUGUCUUGUCUCGAAAUCUGCCUGGUCAAGGAUCCGAGUGAAUGCUGCGUGUGGGUCUGGCUCUGCUUCCACAGUGAAUCUUGCUCCUGCCAUCAUCACCUGCUCCUCCUAGAAGUCCAUAAGAAGAGCGCUGAUGAAUCAGGCCAGUGGCCAGGCAUGCUAUGAGGGAAGGCAGCCCCCAAAUUGAGAGUUCUCCUGUCCCUGGGUUCAACAUGGCAGCUCUAUAAACAACAGCAACCAUGAGGCGAAUGUGGAAGCUAAACUUCAAAGGAAUGAAGGAGAGCAUGAACAGGUUUUCAAUACGGUCAAUGAGAUUUCUCAGGGAUUUUUUCAGCACCCAUUCAUUGCUGGUACGCAUAGAGGAGAAAUUCUGCGGAGCUGGAGAGGAGAGCGAGAGAGCGCUGAAUGCAAAAGCCUGCCUGCGAGGAAGAGUGGGGAGAAGGACUCUUCAGGCAUUUAAACUGGGGAUGAGGAAGCUGUGGUCCUCCAUGCACGGUUGGACGAUGACUUCCAUUGUCCCUGAUCAUUGGCCAGGCUUGCUGGGGCUGAUGGGAGCUGGAGUCUGGUUCCCCAUCCCACAUUUGUGUGGCAGAGCUGCUCUGUCCUCGUCUGGGAGAGAAGAAAGCUUCCGGGAAAGGACUGCUUCCCUAUCGAGGGCUAGACAGCCUCUGGCUGCAACUUGGAGAAAGUGGGCCUGCUUUUCCUUUCUCCCUCCUAUUUCUUUUUCGCUGUGUGCUGCGUAAUUUUAGAUUACCAUCUUAAGAGCAGGCACCUUCAUAGAACUGCUUUUCUGAGAGCCCUUUUUCAUUACUAAAGGGCAAGGAAAAAAUACUGUAAAUAAAUAAAUAGAUGCACACAUGCAUGUAAACCAUGUUUUGGUUCUGAGGACAUCUUUGCUGCCCAGAGGGCUGUCACUGAGCUUGGGCCAAGCUCUGCUUAGACAUCAGAAGCUGCUUCAUAUCCCAGGCCUGUUUGUCCAUCAAAAUGAAAUGGACUUAUUCAACCAUUCCUAUCUCAGGCAGGCCUGAGGAAGACUCCUGCCUGAAAUCCUGGAGAGCUGUGGCUGGCCAGUAUUGACAGAGUUGAGCUGGAUGGGCCAAUGGUCAGAUAAUGGGGAUGAUGGUGAUGAUGGUGAUGAUAAUAAUAAUAAUAAUAAUAAUAAUAAUAAUAAUAAUAAUGUAUUAUUUGUACUCUACCCAUCUGACUGGGUUUCCCCAGCCACUCUGGGCAGCUCCCAAUAGAAUAUUAAAAACACCAUUGUCAGGGAACUGCCAUCAGUGCCGGAGGGAGAGAGCGAGCUCCAGAGGGAUCCCAGAGAGCGUCCCGGGAUUGGGAGAAGCAGCCCAUCUUCUGGGGAAGGGAAUCAGCUUAGCUCCAGUGGAGAAGGGGGGCAGAUGGG
rnacentral:lncRNA from 1 species